GCCGAGGUCGCAUAACCCGGUAGUGCGCCAGCCUGGAAAGCUGGUUUCCGAAAGGAUAUCAGGGUUCAAAUCCCUGCCUCGGCG
rnacentral:tRNA from 1 species